GUUGAGUACACGUUCCUGUUGAUUUAACCAUUAGGAGAAUAUUAUGUUUGUCAGGAGGCCAAGUUAGAGUUUAGAAAAGAUUUACAAAAGGUGCAGGUAUGAGCAGGUCUGAAGACUAACAUUUUGUGAAGUUGUAAAACAGAAAACCUGUUAGAAAUGUGGUGGUUUCAGCAAGGCCUCAGUUUCCUUCCUUCAGCCCUUGUAAUUUGGACAUCUGCUGCUUUCAUAUUUUCAUACAUUACUGCAGUAACACUCCACCAUAUAGACCCGGCUUUACCUUAUAUCAGUGACACUGGUACAGUAGCUCCAGAAAAAUGCUUAUUUGGGGCAAUGCUAAAUAUUGCGGCAGUUUUAUAAAACAACCCUUUUUGCUGCACAUGUAAGUGGAGCUGUGCUUACCUUUGGUAUGGGCUCAUUAUAUAUGUUUGUUCAGACCAUCCUUUCCUACCAAAUGCAGCCCAAAAUCCAUGGCAAACAAGUCUUCUGGAUCAGACUGUUGUUGGUUAUCUGGUGUGGAGUAAGUGCACUUAGCA
rnacentral:lncRNA from 1 species